UACAGAGACCUCAAGCGUUAUCCGGAUUCAUUGGGCGUAAAGCGUUCCAAUCGGCUGUUUGGAAAGUCCUUUGUUAAAUCCCGCGGCUCAACCGUGGAAUCGCAGGGGAAACUUCCAGACUCGAGGGGCAAAGAGGUGCUUGGAACGAAUGGAGUAGCAGUGAAAUGCGUUGAUAUCAUUCGGAACACCAAAUGCGAAGGCAGAGCACUGGGUGCCACCUGACGCUGCUAGGACGAAAGCGUGGGUAGCGAAUGGG
rnacentral:misc_RNA from 1 species